rnacentral:rRNA from 1 species
ACGGGCUCUUCGGAGCUAGUGGCGGACGGGUGAGUAACGCGUGAGAAUCUGGCUUCAGGUUCGGGACAACAGUUGGAAACGGCUGCUAAUACCGGAUGUGCCUAAGGGUGAAAGAUUUAUCACCUGAAGAUGAGCUCGCGUCUGAUUAGCUAGUAGGUGUGGUAAGAGCGCACCUAGGCGACGAUCAGUAGCUGGUCUGAGAGGAUGAUCAGCCACACUGGGACUGAGACACGGCCCAGACUCCUACGGGAGGCAGCAGUGGGGAAUUUUCCGCAAUGGGCGAAAGCCUGACGGAGCAAUACCGCGUGAGGGAGGAAGGCUCUUGGGUUGUAAACCUCUUUUCUCAGGGAAGAAUGAUGACGGUACCUGAGGAAUAAGCAUCGGCUAACUCCGUGCCAGCAGCCGCGGUAAUACGGAGGAUGCAAGCGUUAUCCGGAAUGAUUGGGCGUAAAGCGUCCGCAGGUGGCAAUGUAAGUCUGCUGUCAAAGCGUCUGGCUCAACCAGAUAAAGGCAGUGGAAACUACAUAGCUAGAGUAAGGUAGGGGUAGAGGGAAUUCCUGGUGUAGCGGUGAAAUGCGUAGAGAUCAGGAAGAACACCGGUGGCGAAAGCGCUCUGCUGGACCUUAACUGACACUGAGGGACGAAAGCUAGGGGAGCGAAUGGGAUUAGAUACCCCAGUAGUCCUAGCCGUAAACGAUGGAUACUAG